rnacentral:lncRNA from 1 species
AACAAACCCUCUCCAGUCCACUCCAGGCGCCCUGUCGCUCCGAUCAACGCCGCCGCCAACUCUAACGCUAAAAUCCAGAGACCUCCGCUCAGUCCCAUGAAGGUGGCCAUUUUGAGGCCCCUAAAGGGAAAGUCCGGCCGGUACCGAACCCGGGCCUGACCCAGAGAACCCGGUCCACGUCCGUCAGCUCCAUGGGGUCUGAGGAGGCCUCCAACGCCGGCGCUCCCAGGAAAGUGCAAGCAGCAAGUGACUCUAUGGAGAAAAAGCAAGAUAAUAAAGAUGAAGAAAUCAUGGCUAGGGACAAGAAAGUCUCCACCAAAUUGGGGAACUCUUCUUCUGCUGCUACUUCUGCUACGUCUGCCAGAGCGCAAGGAACUAAAACUAAGCCCGGAGCGUGUCAACCUCAGCAAGGCAGCCCCGGACCGAGACAAGCCCAGAGUGAUGGCUCGGCGCUGGGACAAGCCGGACAGAACCCCCCUCCUCCUGGAAGCGGCGGGUCUCCGACGAGGCAGCGGCCGAGCCAAGGUAUCCCUAAACCUCGCUUCACCGCGACGACCACCUCCUCGCUCACCUCCAAAACGUCGACCAAUCAGCAGCCGGCCCCGCCCUCGCGCCCCGCCCCCGUGACCUCCAAACUUCCCGUGAAGGGAGUACCCACAAGCCUCAGCUCCUCGUCGCUGGGAAGCAACGCCAACGAAAACAGCGGAGGCAGAGUUCCUCCAGCACCAGGGGCCACCGAGUCAGACGAGCGUCCCAACAGGAGUGCUCUUGCCGUGGGCAGCCAGAGCACGGCGCGGCCCCCGGCUCCAGCG